GACGAACGCUGGCGGCGUGCUUAACACAUGCAAGUCGAACGGAAAGGCCCUGCUUUUGUGGGGUGCUCGAGUGGCGAACGGGUGAGUAACACGUGAGUAACCUGCCCUUGACUUUGGGAUAACUUCAGGAAACUGGGGCUAAUACCGGAUAGGAGCUCCUGCUGCAUGGUGGGGGUUGGAAAGUUUCGGCGGUUGGGGAUGGACUCGCGGCUUAUCAGCUUGUUGGUGGGGUAGUGGCUUACCAAGGCUUUGACGGGUAGCCGGCCUGAGAGGGGGACCGGCCACAUUGGGACUGAGAUACGGCCCAGACUCCUACGGGAGGCAGCAGUGGGGAAUAUUACACAAUGGGCGGAAGCCUGAUGCAGCAACGCCGCGUGCGGGAUGACGGCCUUCGGGUUGUAAACCGCUUUCGCCUGUGACGAAGCGUGAGUGACGGUAAUGGGUAAAGAAGCACCGGCUAACUACGUG
rnacentral:rRNA from 1 species